AUGUUAAGGAUUCCUUGAUGGCAAUUUAUCUGAAAACAAAAUCUGACGCUUUUGUUUUAUUGAAAUAAUUGUGGUAUUUUGGUAGGAAACACAACCACAACAUAAGAAAGUAAAUUGUUAAUAACAAUAACAACAAUCAAAAGUAAUGACGAUGAUAAGCAGAGGGUGAAAACCAAAGGAGAUAGCAGGCAAAAAGGAAAAUUGAAUGAAUCUUAUAAUCUUAUAUUUGGUGGAAACAAAACAAAAGUCUAAAAAUAAUCACGUCAAGAUCACAUAAAUGGUAAUCAAAAAACAAAGUCAAAGGACUGGCCAUAAUCAAGCUCAUCAAUAUGUUUGUAAUAAGCAGAUGGGAAAUUGUAAAAGUCAAUUGAAUCCACGAAGAAGCAUUAAAGGUUACCAAGAGAAUCAGAUUAAUCGGAUAGUUGAUCAUCUGGAUAAGCUUUCGUAACUCUCUUUCACGCACAUAAACGUAUAUACAAUUUGUAAAUACAAUUUGAUUGAUCAAGAUGAUUAGGAUUAACCGUAUUAACUGGAAGCAAGGAGAAACAUGGCAACAAUAGCCAUUUCGAUUCUUGUUUUUGCUGAUUGUGUCUUUCAUAAAGUGAUUUGACGUCGAUUAAGUAAUGGACAUCUAAACUGCUGAGGUCUUUCCAUGAUACGUAAUGAUUGACAAUUUGUACAAUUAUUGGUAACACUUUUCACUGGUAAUGGAGCAAUGAUAAUUUCUUCAUUUUGGUAAUUGUCGACUUUAGCUUCUCCUGGAUGAUUCUGGUAUAAGAAAAAGAAAUAAACACACAAGAUUAAUCAAUUAAUCGAGGAAGCUCCUGUGUUCAAAGGAAGAAACAAAAAGUCAAUUAUUCGUAACAAUUGGACUGAUUAUUUGAACAGCUAAUAACAUACUAAUGAUUAGAGGAUUGUCCUUACUGGUGAUGCUUUCGGAUUCUCAUUUGUUUGUAUUCCAAUGGCGGUUGUGUUAACAUCACAAUGGUUAGGCUCCAAGGAACAACCAAAGGAUCCCUUGAAGGUUUCAGAUUGAUUUAAAAUGAAGUCAAGUCUAAAUGAUGAAAAUGGAGAUAUCAUUGAAAUUAAAUCGUCAAGAAUUUAGUUGAAAGUUUAGUUAAAAAUUAAAAUUGAAAAUUGUGAGUUUACCUUUUAAGAGGAUCAAUCGCUAGUUUACCCUCUUUUAGUAUGAAGGGUGUUUUCAUACACAAUGUCUUUUUGAUAUGAAUGAGAAAUUAAAAGGAAACAAAUGAUAUGAUUAAUAAGAA